rnacentral:rRNA from 1 species
CCUGACUGCUAUCGGAUUGAUACUAAGCCAUGCGAGUCUUUGUAGCAAUACAAGGCAGACGGCUCAGUAACGCGUAGUCAACCUAACCUAUGGAUGGGAAUAACCUCGGGAAACUGAGAAUAAUGCCCAAUAGAACACUAUACCUGGAAUGGUUUGUGUUCCAAAUGAUUUAUCGCCGUAGGAUGGGACUGCGGCCUAUCAGUUUGUUGGUGAGGUAAUGGCCCACCAAGACUAUUACAGGUACGGGCUCUGAGAGGAGUAGCCCGGAGAUGGGUACUGAGACACGGACCCAGGCCCUAUGGGGCGCAGCAGGCGAGAAAACUUUGCAAUGUGCGAAAGCACGUCAAGGUUAAUCCGAGUGACUUGUGCUAAACGAAUCUUUUGUUAGUCCUAGAAACACUAACGAAUAAGGGGUGGGCAAGUUCUGGUGUCAGCCGCCGCGGUAAAACCAGCACCUCAAGUGGUCAGGAUGAUUAUUGGGCCUAAAGCAUCCGUAGCCGGCUCUGUAAGUUUUCGGUUAAAUCUGUACGCUCAACGUACAGGCUGCCGGGAAUACUGCAGAGCUAGGGAGUGGGAGAGGUAGACGGUACUCGGUAGGAAGGGGUAAAAUCCUUUGAUCUAUUGAUGACCACCUGUGGCGAAGGCGGUCUACCAGAACACGUCCGACGGUGAGGGAUGAAAGCUGGGGGAGCAAACCGGAUUAGAUACCCGGGUAGUCCCAGCUGUAAACUAUGCAAACUCAGUGAUGCACUGACUUGUGGUCAAUGCAGUGCUGCAGGGAAGCCGUUAAGUUUGCCGCCUGGGAAGUACGUACGCAAGUAUGAAACUUAA